rnacentral:rRNA from 1 species
ACGGGAGGCAGCAGUGGGGAAUAUUGCACAAUGGGGGAAACCCUGAUGCAGCAACGCCGCGUGAGUGAUGAAGGUCUUCGGAUUGUAAAACUCUGUCCUUAGGGACGAAACAAAUGACGGUACCUAAGGAGGAAGCCCCGGCUAACUACGUGCCAGCAGCCGCGGUAAUACGUAGGGAGCAAGCGUUAUCCGGAAUUACUGGGUGUAAAGGGAGUGUAGGCGGGACUGUAAGUCAGAUGUGAAAUAUGCCGGCUCAACUGGCAGACUGCAUUUGAAACUGCGGUUCUUGAGUGAAGUAGAGGUAAGCGGAAUUCCUAGUGUAGCGGUGAAAUGCGUAGAUAUUAGGAGGAACAUCAGUGGCGAAGGCGGCUUACUGGGCUUUAACUGACGCUGAGGCUCGAAAGCGUGGGGAGCAAACAGGAUUAGAUACCCUGGUA